AGCGAACGCUGGCGGCAGGCCUAACACAUGCAAGUCGAACGAACCUUUCGGGGUUAGUGGCGGACGGGUGAGUAACACGUGGGAACGUGCCUUUAGGUUCGGAAUAACUCAGGGAAACUUGUGCUAAUACCGAAUGUGCCCUUCGGGGGAAAGAUUAAUCGCCUUUAGAGCGGCCCGCGUCUGAUUAGCUAGUUGGUUGAGGUAAUGGCUCACCAAGGCGACGUUCAGUAGCUGGUCUGAGAGGAUGAUCAGCCACAUUGGGACUGAGACACGGCACAAACUCCUACGGGAGGCAGCAGUGGGGAAUCUUGCGCAAUGGGCGAAAGCCUGACGCAGCCAUGCCGGGUGAAUGAUGAAGGUCUUAGGAUUGUAAAAUUCUUUCACCUGGGACGAUAAUGACGGUACCCGGAGAAGAAGCCCCGGCUAACUUCGUG
rnacentral:rRNA from 1 species